UUUUAUUACAAAAUCCGAAGCUUACAAUUAAUUAAAACAAAAGCUUAAACACACCCUCUUUCUCUCUUUCUCUUUCAAGUGUUUCUCUCUAUACUUUCCACACAAAUAAACACAAGCUGGGCACUCUAUUUAUAGACAAAAACAGAAUACGAAAAUCUACUGUUCCAGGUGUGAAGGCGGCUGUUGACCGGCGGUGUGAAGGCGGCUGGCGGCUGGCGGCUGGUGGUGCGGCUGCGGCUGGUGGGUGGUUGCCUUCCUUGACCUAUCUAGGUGCUUCUAGAUUGAGUUUAUUCAACAAAUCUCCCCUUUAAACUCAAUCGAGGGAUGUCAUGCCAAGCAUGAACUUUAAUCGGAUGAAUACUUCUCCUUUCAAUGGCUUUGUGAAGAUGUCAGCAACUUGAUCAUUUGUGUUGCAAGAUAUCAGUUGGACUUCUUCAUUCUUCACAUGUUCCCGGAUAAAGUGAUGACGUGUAUCAAUGUGUUUGCUCCUCUCAUGAUACACUGGAUUCUUUGCUAAUGCGAUUGCUGAUCGAUUGUCAAUAUAAAUCUCCGUAGGACUUUCUUGAGGAAAUCCCAAAAACUUCAGCAUAUUCCUUAACCAUAUUGAAUGGCAUACGGCUGAGUUGGCAGCAACAUACUCAGCUUCACAGCUUGAUAAUGUGACAAUCGAUUGCUUCUUGGAUGACCAUGUGAAAGAUGUGUCUCCCAUGAAAAAGACAAACCCUGUUGUGCUUUUCCUUUCAUCCAGAUCUCUACCCCAAUCACUAUCCGAGUAGCCUACAAGAUUAAAGUCUUUACUUGAGGUAUAAAACAUACCUUCAUUCAUUGUGCCUUUGAUGUAGCGAAGAAUUCUCUUGGCUGCAUUCAAAUGAGACUGGUCUGGUGUCUCCAUGUAUCUGCUGACGAGUCCGACUCCGUAGAGUAUAUCCGGUCUGGUACAUGUCAAGUACCUUAAGCUUCCUACUAAGCUUUUGAAGUAAGUUGGAUCAACAUUUCCAACCUUACUCUUCCUCAAUUCCACUCCAUUCUCAACUGGAGUUGAUACCGGAUUGCAGCUUUCCAUCUUGAACCUUUCAAGAAUAUCUUUGGCGUAACCGCUUUGGGAUACAAAAAUCCCUUCUUCCUUCUGCGUUACUUCUAAGCCAAGAAAAUGUGACAUUAGACCAAUGUCAGUCAUUUCAAACUCCUGUACCAUGCUUCGUUUGAAGUCGUCAAACAUGGUAGGGUUGUUGCCGGUGAAUAUCAAAUCAUCAACAUACAGGCACACAAAUAAGAUGCUGCCAUCUGCUCCUUUCUUCACAUACAUUGCGUGUUCAUAUGGACAUUUUUCAAAUCCAUUAUCUUGAAAAUACCUGUCAAUUCUGGUAUUCCAAGCACGCGGAGCUUGCUUCAAACCAUAGAGAGCCUUCUUCAACUUGUAUACUUUGCCUUCAUUUUCAGCAUCAAUGUAUCCAAGUGGUUGUUCAACAUAGAUUUCUUCUUCUAGGAAGCCAUUCAGAAAUGCUGACUUCACAUCGAGUUGAUAGAUCUUCCAUCUAUGUUGUGCAGCUAGUGAGAUCAUCAGUCUGAUUGUCUCUAGCCGGGCUACUGGAGCAAAUACUUCUCCAUAGUCAAUGCCUUCUCUCUGUUUGUAGCCUUUAGCCACUAAUCUGGCUUUGUAUCUUUGCACUUCUCCUUUGGCGUUCUUCUUCGUCUUGUAGACCCAUUUGACACCUAUUGCUUUCUUGUUUUCUGGUAGAUAAGUCAGCUUCCAGGUAUCAUUCUUCUCAAUGGCAUGUAUUUCUUCAUCCAUUGCUUCUAUCCAUUUCUCUUCUGUGAUAGCUUCAUUGAAGCUUAAUGGGUCACUAUCUGCAAAGAAACAAAACAGAGUUGUAUCUUCCAUAACCUGAGUGGUAUCGUACAACUCUUCAAGAUUCCGCAUCCUUCUUGGUCUUCUGAUGAGGAUGCUGGUGGUGUUGAUGAUGAUGCUCCUGGUGUGUUCCUCCUGUUGAAUACAGGGAAACUGUGUGCCGGACUUUGUGGUUCAGCUGCUGGCACAAUCGGUUCUUCGACAAGUACUGUUGGUACUUCUUCACCUUCAAGGAUCAAAUCAGUUGAUCCAUUGACUGCUUCUUGAUCACCAUUCCAUGCCCAAGAUUUAUCUUCUUCAAAGAUAACAUCUCUACUCGUAAUCACCUUCUUCGUGAUGGGAUUAUACAGCCUGUAUCCCAUCCUUCUUUCACCAUAUCCGACAAAGAUGCAUUUCUCGCUCUUAUCAUCGAGCUUUCUCCUUCUUGCAUCUGGGAUCUUUGCAUAUGCCACACAACCAAAGACUCGUAGAUGAGUAACACUUGGUUUGUGACCACUCCAUGCUUCUUCUGGAGUGACUCCUUGCAAACUUCUGGUUGGGCAGCGAUUCAGUAGAUACACUGCACAUGAUACAGCUUCAGCCCAGUAUUGCUUGGGCAGCUUCUUUGCUUUGAGCAAACUUCUGCCAUGUCAAGAAUCGUGCGAUUCUUCCUUUCUGCUACACCGUUCAGCUGUGGUGUAUAAGCUGGCGUCGUCUGAUGUCUGAUGCCUUGUUGUGUACAAUAGGCUUCAAAGUCAUUUGGCUGUAUAUUCUCCACCUUGAUCAGAUCUCACUGUUCUGAUCGUAACCAGUUUGCUUCUCCACAAUUGCUUUAAAAUCUUUAAAACAAUUGAAUACUUCUGACUUCCUCUUCAGAAAGUAUAUCCACGUCUUUCUACUAAAAUCAUCAGUAAAAGUGAGGAAGUACCUAUUUUGUCCAGUCGACAUAGGCGUAAUUGGGCCACACACAUCUGUGUGUACUAACUCCAGUGGCCUCUUUGCUCUCCAGUUGACUUCUUUGGCAAAACUGGAUCUGUGAUGUUUGCUGAGGACACAACUCUCACAGACUUCAUCUGGAUGAUCAAUGUGAGGCAAACCUUUGACCAUCUUCUUGCUUGCUAGCAUCUUCAUACUCGUGAAAUUCAGAUGUCCAAGCCUCAGGUGCCAAAGCCAUUCUUCACUGUUGGUGAUGGCACUCAAACACCUUGUUGCAUCAUACUGGAUGUUCAAAGGAAACAUCCUAUUCUUGGACAUUUUCACGUAGGCCAUUAAUCUCCCAUUGUUGUCUCUAAUUGUCAGAUGACAAUUCUUCGAGUAAAAACUAUAUCCUCUCUCCAAAAGUUGCCUAAGCUGAUCAGGUUCUGCUUUAUGGCUGGGACAUAAUACACAUCGGCGAUGUAGCUGGAAUCGCCAUUCUUCAACUUGACUGGGAUGUUGCCUUUACCUUUGAAUGGAACCUUUGUGGUAUCUCCAAAAGUAACUAGACCUUGCUUGGUCUCAUCUAGAUCACCAAAUAACUCUCGGUAGCCGCACAUGUGAUUGCUGGCUCCAGUAUCUAGAUACCAUAUUCCUCUUGUUUCUCGCCAUGUCCUUGUUGGACAAGAAAUGCAGAUGCUUCUCCAUCAUGCUUCUCUACAUAGUUGGCUUGCUCACGUAUCUCCAACGGAGCUUUCCAUCGGCAUUCAGUGCUAUAGUGCCCAAAUUGAUUGCAGCUAUAACAUUUGAUAUUUCUCUUGUCACGGUUAUUGUAACCGCCUCCUCUUCCUCUAGGAGUGAAUGCUUGUUGCCUCGGCCUCCUCUGGUGGUGUUUCUGCCACCUCUUCCUCUGAAGCUUGUAUUCCAAGAUCCUCUUCCUCCUUGGAAUCUAUGAAAUCCUCCUCUGGAUUGUUGACUUCCUCCUUGAGUGGUGUAGCCACUUGAUGAAGUCUCCCCUUGCUCAUAUCUGUCCUUGAAAGACAGCUUUGCUUGUAAGGCAUGCUCAAUGGCCUUAUCUUCAUUUCGCAUUACAAUCUUCUGCUCAUGAGCUUGCAAAGAACUCAUAAGCUCAUCCACUGUCAACUUGUCCACUUCCUUGGACUCUUCAAUUGCGACAACAACAUGAUCAAAUUUUGGAUCUAUGGAUCUCAAAAUUUUCUCAAUAAUUCGAGUAUCAUGAGGGCUUCUCCAUUUCUUCUCAUCUGGUUGACUAUCACCAUAAUCCUUGUAUGAUAAUCAGAAAUAGAUUCUGAGGACUUCAUUCGUAAUAAUUCGAAUUCUCCUCUCAAAGAUUGAAGACGAAUCUUCUUGAUUCUGUCAGCACCUUUGUAUUUCUGUUGGAGAGCCUCCCAUAUAUCAUGUGACGUUUCAGCGGAAGCUAUUAUCUCGAAUGUAUCUUCAUCAAGACCUUGAUAGAUGAUGGUCUUUGCUUUGUUGUCCUUCUUUCUGUUGACUUUAAGGCUUGCUUCUGUGCCUCUUGUAAAGCAUCUUCUCUUUCUUUGGACUCUGGUUCAUCAUAACCAGUUUGUACAAUAUCAAACACUCUUGUGACCCAAGAAAUGCCUUCAAUCUGAUGCACCAACUAUCAUAGUUGUCUUUGGUCAGCUUCGGGAUGAGUGUAUGUGUACCUUCUGUAGUCAUUUUGCUCUUUAAUGACUAUAUCGCCUUCUGGGAGCCGAAUUUGACCAAACGGACACUGUAGAUCGAUCCGGAAUGGUCCAAAUAGUCGGGAACCGGUCUGACUUUGUUGAAAUCGGGUCAGAAAAUGGGUGAACCGGUCAAAAAACCAAUUCUGUACGGCGGGCGGUUCGCUGGGUUGAACCGGGAAUAUUCUGUGGAAUAUUCUGGGAAUAUUCGGGAAUAUUCGGGAAUAUUCGGGAAUAUUCUGGGGAAUAUUCUUGGGAAUAUUCUGGGAAUAUUCGUGGAAUAUUCUGGGGAAUAUUCUUCGGCUCGGCUCGGCUCGGGGUACGGCUCGGCUGGCUCGGCGUAUACGGCUCGGCGCGGCUCAAAUAUGGCGCGCGUGUGGCUCAGUCGUCUUCAACCUCGGGGCGCGUGGGAUGCGCGUGGGCGAUCUGGCUGAAUAUUCAGGCGGCGCGUGUGGGCUACCCGGAACUCCGAGGCUGAUUUUUGCGGCAGUGAGUUCGUCUUGAUGAGCUCUACACUGUGGAAUGAUCAAAACUUGUUUUUGACAAUUUUGAAAAUUCGGAUAUACCCCAAAACUCUUCUGUUUUCCGACGAACGGGGAUCUGAUACCAAUUGUUGGUGGGAGGAACCACUGGUGGUGGCUUUGAAACACUCAGAGGGGAUAAAACACACUGGUUUUAUUACAAAAUCCGAAGCUUACAAUUAAUUAAAACAAAAGCUUAAACACACCCUCUUUCUCUCUUUCUCUUUCAAGUGUUUCUCUCUAUACUUUCCACACAAAUAAACACAAGCUGGGCACUCUAUUUAUAGACAAAAACAGAAUACGAAAAUCUACUGUUCCAGGUGUGAAGGCGGCUGUUGACCGGCGGUGUGAAGGCGGCUGGCGGCUGGCGGCUGCGGCUGGUGGCUGGCGGCUGCGGCUGGUGGGUGGUUGCCUUCCUUGACUGUCUAGGUGCUUCUAGAUUGAGUUUAUUCAACA
rnacentral:lncRNA from 1 species